rnacentral:rRNA from 1 species
UGCAGUCGAACGGCAGCACGGGAGCAAUCCUGGUGGCGAGUGGCGAACGGGUGAGUAAUAUAUCGGAACGUGCCCAGUCGUGGGGGAUAACGCAGCGAAAGCUGUGCUAAUACCGCAUACGAUCUCUGGAUGAAAGCGGGGGACUCGUAAGAGCCUCGCGCGAUUGGAGCGGCCGAUAUCAGAUUAGCUAGUUGGUGGGGUAAAGGCCCACCAAGGCGACGAUCUGUAGCUGGUCUGAGAGGACGACCAGCCACACUGGAACUGAGACACGGUCCAGACUCCUACGGGAGGCAGCAGUGGGGAAUUUUGGACAAUGGGCGCAAGCCUGAUCCAGCAAUGCCGCGUGCAGGAUGAAGGCCUUCGGGUUGUAAACUGCUUUUGUACGGAACGAAAAGGUCUGCCUUAAUACGGUGGGCCCAUGACGGUACCGUAAGAAUAAGCACCGGCUAACUACGUGCCAGCAGCCGCGGUAAUACGUAGGGUGCGAGCGUUAAUCGGAAUUACUGGGCGUAAAGCGUGCGCAGGCGGUUAUAUAAGACAGACGUGAAAUCCCCGGGCUCAACCUGGGACCUGCAUUUGUGACUGUAUAGCUAGAGUACGGUAGAGGGGGAUGGAAUUCCGCGUGUAGCAGUGAAAUGCGUAGAUAUGCGGAGGAACACCGAUGGCGAAGGCAAUCCCCUGGACCUGUACUGACGCUCAUGCACG